AGAGAGAGGACGGCUGACGGUAGGGUCUUCGGACCCGGCUGAGGAAGUUCCCUCCUCCACGGGCAAAGAUGAGCCGAGAAAUUCGGCAGGGCGAGAGCUCUGGCAAGGGCCCAGAAACGACACAGUUCCGGUAAACAGGAUGACCUGUCUGUCAGCGACGUUCCCGGAGAUCUGGUGAAACGGCGACUCCUCAUCGGAGCAAGCUCAUACAGCCGGGAUGAGAUGCCUGCGACCGGCGGGUAGAGUGCGAAGUUGAAUGCUGUCUGAAACAGAAGGGGGGCUACUACU
rnacentral:RNase_P_RNA from 1 species